UACUUGAAUUGUCCUGAGACAGGUUGCCA
rnacentral:piRNA from 1 species